GAGCCCGUGAAUCCGGGCGGCAGAAUUCAGAAUCGACGGGGAGAGGGUGCAAGCUCUCGCGCGGUCUAUUUGAUAUUUCUGCCGCCGUAUUUACACACGGACGUCGCGACCUGUUCGAUGUCGGUCUUUUCUUCUCUCCAGGAACCGCGUUCGAGUUCGCUGUCGGAGCGUGUGCGUGUUCGCGCGCGUAUGCAAUUCGACGGCGAAGGCGCGGACUUCUGGCCGACUCGUCGGACAGUAUGUCAACGGGGGUGUCCGGUGUCCUGAGAGGACUCUCGCAAGGGGGGCCGCCAGGGCAUCGGUGCCGGUCAGCGACGAAUCUUC
rnacentral:rRNA from 1 species